rnacentral:rRNA from 1 species
AUUGAACGCUGGCGGCAUGCCUUACACAUGCAAGUCGAACGGCAGCGGACCUUCGGGUGCCGGCGAGUGGCGAACGGGUGAGUAAUAUAUCGGAACGUACCUUUCAGUGGGGGAUAGCGUAGCGAAAGUUACGCUAAUACCGCAUAUUCUGUGAGCAGGAAAGCAGGGGAUCGCAAGACCUUGCGCUGAUUGAGCGGCCGAUAUCAGAUUAGCUAGUUGGUGAGGUAAAGGCUCACCAAGGCGACGAUCUGUAGCGGGUCUGAGAGGAUGAUCCGCCACACUGGAACUGAGACACGGUCCAGACUCCUACGGGAGGCAGCAGUGGGGAAUUUUGGACAAUGGGCGCAAGCCUGAUCCAGCCAUGCCGCGUGAGUGAAGAAGGCCUGG